rnacentral:ncRNA from 1 species
AUAACAUGCAAACAAGAAAGUAGUACAUACUAGAACGAAGUACUCGACUAUAUUACAGAAAAUCGGACAUCUUCUGAGUUUGCUCCAGAAAGGAGGUGUUCCAGCCGCACCUUCCGGUACGGCUACCUUGUUACGACUUAGCCNCUGUCUCAGUUCGGAUCGGAGUCUGCAACUCGACUCCGUGAAGCUGGAUUCGCUAGUAAUCGCGCAUCAGCCAUGGCGCGGUGAAUACGUUCCCGGGCCUUGUACACACCGCCCGUCAAGCCAUGGGAGCCGGGGGUGCCUAAAGUCCGUAACCGUUGAGGAUCGGCCUAGGGUAAAACUGGUGACUGGGGCUAAGUCGUAACAAGGUAGCCGUACCGGAAGGUGCGGCUGGAACACCUCCUUU